GGAGUGAAGACAACUGGAGACGCAAGUUUCAGCAACGCAAUGUCAUUGCUUUUGGUCGAGCUGCUGUAGAGCGGAUGUGGGAUGAACUGCACAGACAGAAACAAGCGAAAAAGAUGGACUGUUACUAGUGGAUUUUAUGGAUGGUAAUCUAAGAUAUACAUCUUCUAUUAAAUGUGGGACGUGAUCGAGGUCCAUCCCAGCAGCUCAAAUGACCUCACAACUGAGGAAUGCUGAGAUCUGUUAUCGCUGGAGACAAUCUGCAUCUUCUGAAGACAUCACACAGGUUUCAGUACCAUGGACAGGAUUAAACAGACUGAUCUGUGUCAUCUUGGCCCGUUUACAAAAGGAAAUACCAAAGAAGAUUUUCAACGUGAACAGAAGGAUUUUUUGUGGCUUUCUUUAUUUAUAUUUAUAACUGAAUGAGAACAUCAUGUGCAUUUCAUUAGCUCUGGUAAAUAGUUUAUCUGUACAGGUGAGAACAUCUGAUAAACAUGACUCGUUUGGAAGUUAGUAUCUAGUAACUUUUCCACCACUGUUGUUAAAUAUUGCAACACUUUUGUCUGUCAUUUGUUACUGUGAAAGUGGAAUACAGUUUUUUUUUUAAAUUGCAAUUUAA